GGAAUAUUGGACAAUGGGGGCAACCCUGAUCCAGCCACGCCGCGUGAGUGAUGAAGGCCUUCGGGUCGUAAAGCUCUGUGGGGAGGGACGAAUGUCCGGCGUAACCCGUCGGAGUGACGGUACCUCCUUAGCAAGCACCGGCUAACUUCGUGCCAGCAGCCGCGGUAAUACGAAGGGUGCAAACGUUGCUCGGAAUCAUUGGGCGUAAAGCGCACGUAGGCGGCUUCGCAAGUCGGAUGUGAAAUCCCUCGGCUCAACCGAGGACGUGCAUCCGAAACUGCAGAGCUUGAGUACAGAAGAGGAUCGCGGAAUUCCCGGUGUAGAGGUGAAAUUCGUAGAUAUCGGGAGGAACACCAGUGGCGAAGGCGGCGAUCUGGGCUGAUACUGACGCUGAGGUGCGAAAGCGUGGGGAGCAAAC
rnacentral:rRNA from 1 species